rnacentral:rRNA from 1 species
UACGUAGGUGGCAAGCGUUGUCCGGAAUUAUUGGGCGUAAAGCGCGCGCAGGCGGUCCCUUAAGUCUGAUGUGAAAGCCCACGGCUCAACCGUGGAGGGUCAUUGGAAACUGGGGGAGUUGAGUGCAGAAGAGGAAAGUGGAAUUCCAUGUGUAGCGGUGAAAUGCGUAGAGAUGUGGAGGAACACCAGUGGCGAAGGCGACUUUCUGGUCUGUAACUGACGCUGAGGCGCGAAAGCGUGGGGAGCAAACAGG